GCGGACGUGGCGGAACUGGUAGACGCAACGGACUUAAAAUCCGUCGGCCGAAAGGCCAUGGGGGUUCGAUUCCCCCCGCCCGCACCA
rnacentral:tRNA from 1 species